UGUUCAGCUUGGCUUAUUCUGUAGUGACUUUACUAAACAUUCAGAUUUUCUUUAUUGUUAUUUUGGGUUUGAUGACAAUUUUAACUUUUUUCAUUAUGAUCACAGCAUGAAAACAAUGAGUCAGGCCUUCAAAGGUAACAACCAACACUUUGGAACUUGUCGGUAUAACUGAGCCCAGAAGUAGGCAUCAGGAUUAUCUAUGUACUGUGUUCAACUGCUCGGGUCAAAGGUAUGCAAGAUAUUCCUUGACUCCCAUAAACCUGCUGCGGCCCACCCAGCAACGCCUCAACACCUGCAAGAAUGAGAGGCAUUCCUCUUAAAUUAUCACACCUAAUCUAUAGUGGGUCUUUUGUCUUCUAUUGACACAACAUCAUGUUACAUUGUACAUAAUUUGUUGUUUUAUAGUUCACCCCAAAGUUCAAACAAACAUGAGGUAGCAUACAGUAUAUAGAACCUAGCAGUCCUCUUUUCCUUGCUCUUAUAAAAUUUCACACGGCAUCGCAACAGGCUCUGUAUAACACAAAAAGUAAAUAGUAAUCAUUGCAAGUGAAAGUACUGUGGUUUUGUCAGAGGUUUUAAACUUGAAAGCAGUAUGUAAAGUUUAACUUGUGUUUUCUUUUUUACUGUAAUUACACUUGGGAGAUUUCAGUUUGUAACUUUUUCCAUGUACAAUAGAUGAUCAAGGUGAGAAAUUU